ensembl:snoRNA predicted gene, 24551
CUGAAUGCUGAAAAUGAAAUAGAAAUAGAAGUAUAGGAAAAGUUGUUUCAUCCAGUCACCAAGCUCAGUCAAGAUGGAGCGGCUAUGCUCAU